rnacentral:rRNA from 1 species
CUAGCCGUAAACGAUGGAUGCUAGGUGUUGGCGGACUUAACCCCGCCUGUGCCGAAGCUAACGCGUUAAGCAUCCCGCCUGGGAAGUACGAUCGCAAGAUUAAAACUCAAAGGAAUUGACGGGGACCCGCACAAGCAGCGGAGCGUGUGGUUUAAUUCGAUGCUACACGAAGAACCUCACCCAGGUUUGACAUAUGGGUAGUAGUGAACCGAAAGGGGAACGACCCGCAAGGGAGCUCAUACAGGUGU